CUCAGUGUACCAGGACAUCGCCCCAAUUAUCUAUGCAACGGCUCCUCAAUGCUGGCCUUACAACAGAGGCGGCAGCUGUCUCCGCUUAUUACACCUCCCCGCCCCCUGCCAUGGCCGGCACUGACUCUGCCUCUGACGCUGAGGAUACGCACUGCACACGCCCUGCCAGAUGCCAAAGGAAGCCAUUCUUCUGGAAGAAGCUUUCUCCUGAAAGCCUCCUGGAGGCAAAGUUCUGGCAGAACGAGGCAAUUUCCCUCCCUGCAGGCAGAAGGAAGGCAAUUAGAGCGGGGAGCUAGGGCUGAGAGAGGGGAAAUGAUGCAGACACUGCCACCCAGCAAGUGAGAGGAAGGACUGAACAUGGACAGAAGGGCUUGAGACAUUGAGCCUUGGCUGUUUUCACCCAUCCCUUCAAUUGCUGCCCUCUUUUCUAAUGGCCUGAGUCUCCAAAUGGAGCCAAGCUGGGGGCACCCUGGCCAGGAGAUGUGGCCUGCCGUGCCCCUGAGAAGAGCUGUCCCAGGCACACAGAGACAACAUUUGGAAGUGGAAAAUGCCUCUGGAGCAGAGUGUUGGGAAGUCUCAUCCCAUUCUCUGUUUCAGGAACCUUCCCUCAGCAACAGCAGAGCAGAAGGGAACUCCUUAGUUCAGCAUAACUCGGCAAGUAUUCCCAAGCAGCAUGCUUGGGCUGGGCAGGGGAGACUGUCACAGCCAGAGUGGGCAGUGCUGUGACAGGAGGCUCCCUGU
rnacentral:lncRNA from 1 species